rnacentral:rRNA from 1 species
CAGUAGCCGCGGGAAUACGGAGGGUGCAAGCGUUAAUCGGAAUUACUGGGCGUAAAGCGCACGCAGGCGGUUUGUUAAGUCAGAUGUGAAAUCCCCGAGCUUAACUUGGGAACUGCAUUUGAAACUGGCAAGCUAGAGUCUUGUAGAGGGGGGUAGAAUUCCAGGUGUAGCGGUGAAAUGCGUAGGGAUCUGGAGGAAUACCGGGGCGAAGGCGGCCCCCUGGACAAAGACUGACGCUCAGGUGCGAAAGCGUGGGGAGCAAACAGGAUUAGAUACCCCUGUAGUCCCUGUCUCUUAUACA